rnacentral:rRNA from 1 species
AUUGAACGCUGGCGGCAGGCCUAACACAUGCAAGUCGAGCGAGCGGCGGACGGGUGAGUAAUGUCUGGGAAACUGCCUGCUGGAGGGGGAUAACUACUGGAAACGGUAGCUAAUACCGCAUACCAUCAGAUGUGCCCAGAUGGGAUUAGCUAGUAGGUGGGGUAACGGCUCACCUAGGCGACGAGCCCUAGCUGGUCUGAGAGGAUGACCAGCCACAAUGGAACAGAGACACGGUCCAUACUCCUACGGGAGGCAGCAGGGGAGAAAAUUGCACAAUGGGGGCAAGCCUGAUGCUGCCAGGCGGCGUGUGUGAAGAAGGCGUUCGGGUUGUAAAGCACUUUCAGCGUGGAGGCGUUACCCGCAGAAGAAGCACCGGCUAGCUCCGUGCCAGCAGCCGCGGUAAUAC